rnacentral:lncRNA from 1 species
AUAAAUGCAACAUCAAUCUUGAAACUAUCCAAUUCUUUUAUCUCUCUCUUCUUUCUUCAUACUUCCAAAAUUGCUAUUUAGAUUUCUUCGGACAUUCAAAGAAGUUUCAGCUCCCUUCAAAGAUCUUACAAUUUCAGGUUUGAUCCUCUUUCAAUUGAUUGUGCAAGGCGUCAUCUUUGUUUUUUCUUGAGGUGUUCUUGGUUUAUAUCACGUACUUCACUGUUAUAUUAUUGACAUAAUGUUCCAAAUUGAAGAUGUUAGCAUGUUGUUAAUAAGUAAAGAAUCCUUAUUAUCAGAUACCAAAUAUGUAAAUCUGCAGUAAAAGAAAAAUAAUGAAAAAAUUGAGUAUUAUGAUUUUCUUGGUGUUAGUUCUUUAGCAUUUGCAGAGGAGAUAAAGGCCUAUUAUCUCAAGCAGUCAAAACAAAUGGUUGGUUCGGGGAAAGCGUAAUAGCUAAGCCAUGGAUUCUUGGUUGGGUCAGAAAAGUUCUUCUCUUUCAGCGAUUGUUACACCUUUUUCCCUGUUAUUGUAGGAUAACUUUGAAUCCGAAGUUUGUUCUGUGUUAAUGAAUUUAGAUGUUCUCUCAAUUUUGUCCUCCAAUAGUUUGGUUUUAAGCACUAAUUUAUUUUCAUUGUAUUUCUAAUAAAUUCAACUUAAAAAAAAGUCUAAAG